UAAAUAUUUUUGUUAUGCGCCAUUUUCAAGCCUAUCCAGGUUCAUGGGCCCGGUUUCCCGGUUCCUUUGGCACAUGUGUUCCCCCCGGCUGGACGGGACGCCAGUCCAUCGCAGCGUUCCUCAAGAAACAGAAAGAAAGAGUGAGAGAAAGUUGUGGCGAAAGAGUAC